GCCACUGAUAUAAAUAAAAGGAUUUUAAACUAUUAAAUGAAAAUUUAAAAAUAGUGUGAUCUUCAAAUUGCUGAUUGUUUCUAUGGAGGUUGGAAUUGAGAGGCAAAGGGAAUUACACAACAUGAGGGUAGUGAGAGUCCAAAUGGAGCCAGAGGUCAGAAAAUAAAACAUUCCCUCUUCUCUUCGUCACUUGUAUGUCAUUUGUUAGUGUCACAGACUGGGCCAUAAUAACAGGCUGGCAGAGCGACGCUCCGUCGUGCCAAGGUAUGGCACCACCACAGCACCGACCCGUGAAUAGAACAGCAACCUCUCCACGGUCAGUGGUGUGUUUGGAAACACUGGUCUGCUGCUGCUGGGACGUGGGCAGAGAGUGAAGAAAACUGGUGAAGAGAAACGUCGAGCAGGAGAAGAAGAACAACAACUGUGAAAACACUCUGAUCAAGCCGCAACAACUGAGACUGAAGAACCACCAAUCAGAUCCAGUUUCAGCAGCAACUGUCCUCGCACACCUUUCCCACAAGUCUUUGCUGUCACAGAGACACACGCCAGGCCACAAGGGUCAAAUGGACACAGUCGGUUAAACACACACAUGUAUUUUGCUUCUAUAGCACGACUGUUUUCUAUUAACCUGAACCAGGGGCCACACAGUAGCGGCUGUAGCUGCUGCUCUUUCUGUACGGACUCUUCCAGUUCUCUGUGUGUGGGAUCUUCACGUUCUCCAACUUUUUGCCUUUAUUAUAUUAUAUUUUCACUCUAAACAGACCCUAGAUGGGAGUGUGAGUGUGAACAGUUUGGUUUGUCUCUGUGUGUGACCCUGUGAUGGACUGGAGGACUGACCAGGGCUUUAAUUCUGCUCUCCACCACUGACACUCACAAAUAUCACGGUUCCACUCUUAACUGCAAACAUGAAGAACUAUGUUUCACGACUAAAUUACUCUUCUUAUCACAAUGGGUAUCGGAUUUACAUGCUUACCACUAGAGGGAGACCAAAUACCACAUUCACAUGUCAUAGCGUGUCAGCCACUGAGUUAAAGACUUCUCUAUCACAACCGUCAGUCUUCUCCAACGAUCUGCGAUGCUAAGCUAACGCUGCUUAUCCAAACGCGAUUUUAUGUUGUGUCGCUUCCUGUCAUUAGUGCCACCUACAGGCUCCACUGAGAAACCAUUUGACUUGUCAAUCAAAGUGGGAAAGAGGAUAAAGGAGCCAGAGUGACAGCAGCACAUACACUGUGAGGUUUUCAAUCUCUUCUGAUGAUGUUUUGGUCAUAGACUUAGAACUGGGCUGAAGAAAGAGGGCCAUUUUAAUCAGCUGUACAAACGUUUAUAAUUUAUGACUAAAAUGUGUGAAAAUGUAUUGAAUUAGUGUCAAUUCUAGCAAUAAUCCUGCAGCAUCCUGAUCCUGCAGCAUCAGAGUCAAAUUUCAGAAUGUCUUCACUUUCUCCCUCCCCUCUUUUAUCCUCCUGCCCUCAUUUCCUCUUAUCUCUGCUGAUCUCCCUCUUUUUCUUCUCUCUCACCUCUUUACUCACAUGUCACCUCCUCCUUUCUGGCCUCCUUAUCUUUGCUCUGAUCAGUCAGGACUCCACCUCUGCACAAGCGUUGCUUUUUUUUUUACCUCCCUGUCAUGGCCGUAAGCCUGAGGAGUGAAUUUAGAAUUGUUCUGAAAGAUCACAUGAUCUAAGAGGUCACAUGAUCAGUCUGGACACACAGGUGGACACACAGGUGUAGGUUCUGUUCAAAAACUGACAGAUUAUGGAUAACUACAUUAACAGAGAAGUGAUAUCUGUGGUUUAACAUGACCACCACUCAUCAUCCUCAUCAUCAUCAUCAUCAUCAUCAUCGACUUAUACUCCAAACAUGUCGCACUUGCAUAUAUUUUUAAACAUACUUAUAUAUUGGCACAUUUUAUACAUGGCUAAGGUCUGAAUAUAUUUUAUCCUCAUCAGUUUAACUUUAUAUUUUUUGCAUUAUUUCUAUAUAUUGGUAUUUGAUUUUCAACUUUUUAGCCCAUACAGUAAUUUUUUUAUAAUUAUUUUUCCAACUUUGAGCUUUUCCUCCUAAACCCACACCUCUCUUGUCUCUCUAAUCAUCUGACAUAUAACAAACACGUCAUAAAUGAAAAGGGAUGUUGUGUCUAUCGAAGCCGGGCAUGAAAUUUGACCAAUAAAUUUCACUGGAACUAAGA